CAACCUGGUUUGGGUGAGCUCUCCCAUCUCUGGAGACAUCUUAGGAGUCGCACCGAAUGACAUCACUGCCCACAAGUGUCCAACUCAGGCCCUGGCACAGAGGACAGAGAAGACACUUGCUUAUUGUGUUUGUGCAGUCUACAUCUCUCUGCCCUAGAUGAGAUGAACUUGUGGACAACUAAUCCUAGUUCAACAAGCCCUCUGAGGAACGUUGGCUAGAGACUUUGAUUUCCAUUUUACUGAGGAAGCUACUGAUGCCCAGAGAAGCAAGAGAGCUUGUUCAAAGCGCCACAGCAAAUCAACCCUACUUUACACAUCAGUGGGGAGACCCCCAAGGCAGGUCCAGUGGGUGGCAUCAAAGAGGAAGCCUGG
rnacentral:lncRNA from 1 species